AAACAUUUAUUAAGUGAAAUUAACUUGGUACUUAGCCUACUGUUUCGAACGUAGGCCUAAAGCAGAGAUCUCUGCCUUUACUACACUUAGCCAACUCAAGUUCUCCGAAGUGAGAGUUGCCCAUUGUGUCUCCUGGAGUGAGCUGCCGCCACAGGUCACAAUAGAAGCUCUCAUCCCCACGCCGUUUACUCUGGACGACGCUGCUUCUUUUUGACAAUAGAUUAACCCAGGAAAUAAGGAGAUCCUCAGUUUAACACAAGGACCUCGAAAGAAAAUCUCAAAAAUAAUGUGAAAUAUCUAAUAUUCAAUGUAAGAGUUGACCAAGUACGCAAUCACGUCCCUCAAGACGUCUCAAAGUAGUGUGAGAGACCAGUGCAACUGCUAGACAUUUAAACAAUCCUAAAAGCAAGGAAAAUAUCUAUAUAGACAUACAAGUUCUAAAUAUAUUAGUUAAGCCUGACAUUUAGUUGCUGGUCGAUUUGUAUAGUUUCAAGUCAGUAAACUCAAUAGAACAAGGUUAAGUCACUCUAAAAUGUUGCCCCUUAAAUGUCCGAUAUGUAGAACAAUUUUUUCAUCUCAAUCAGCAAUGAAAGCUCAUAUAUUAGUGCAUACGGGUGAGCGUCCAUUUAAAUGUUUAACAUGUGAGAAAACCUUUAUUCUAAUUCAUCAUGUCAAGAAACAUUUGU